CGCUAGGAUCGCUACCUCCCUCUGCACAGGAGGAGACGGAGGGUCCGAGAGGUGAGGGGCCGGCUCCGAGGCGAGGCACACUCUGAGAGCCAGAGGGCAGCCCUGGCAAGGAGCAGACGAGCCCAAGAGAGGGAAGGAGCUGCAGUCUCCAGUGGAGUGGAAUGCGACUCUUGUGCAGCAGACUCCCAAGCCUCCCACAUUCCUGUGUGCUCUGUGCCCCCUCUGUCUCCAUCUCUCUUGUUUCUUUUAGGGGACACAUGGUCUUGCUUUGUUUUUUGGUUUUGUUUUGUUAUUUGGUAUCUGGGGAUUAAAACCAGGGCCUUCAUAUUGAGAAAAUCUUCAGCCCUUUAAUUUUUUUUUUUUUUAAAUUUUGACCCAAGGAUUCAGUAAAUCACUGAGUUGCCAAGGCUGGCGGCGGGGGGGGGGGGGGCUUGCAAUCUGCCUGCCUCAGUCUCCCAGAAUGCACCACCACGUCCAGGUUCAUCAGCGAUGUCUCUGGAUGCUUGCUGGUCCUGUUCCCUGAGCUUGAAAUGCCGGUCCACCUGUGUGAUCUCCCUCACUCUUCAAGGCUUAACCUGAGGACUCCACAUUCCUGGGAGCUUCUCUCCAUGUGCUGCUCUGCUUCCAAACUGGAUAUGCACCUUUCCUCCUUCAAACCUCAGUUCCCCUGUGUGCAGGGGUGGAGUUUCAUCUCUGAGCUGUGUAAUGUCAUGAAUUUGCCAGGAUGGGUGGAAGUUUUUUCCUGAUGGAGGAAGAGGUCCUUUGAGUCUGUGGAUGUGUUGGAUGAGAACCUUGCCACCUGUGCCUUCUACAGGCCAGGCAUGAUGUUGGAGUGCUCCUGGGCUCAUGCCACAAGAACUAGAGAAGCUGAGGUUUCAACCAAGCUGUUGAGAUGCCGGAGCACUGUGUGUAUGUGUGUACAUCUGUGCACACAUGUAAAAUAAUGGGCUCUAGUGUUGGUGGAGCAUUUUAAACUUCUCAGCACUGUCACCUCUUGCAACCUUUUGAGACAGGCCCUGCAGAAAUCCACACUCAGAUUAGGUCACUGCCUUAGUCACACAACUAAAAUGAGGAACAUCACUGGGCCUGAGCAGAGGCAAAUCUUACUCUGGCUUAGGAGGAACCAAAUUGGACCCUCAAAGUAUAAGAUACUUUGUUCUUUGACUCCAGUCUAACUUUGCUAGUUUUUCUUCCCAGUGACCCUCCCCUGCAUUCUGCCUGUAUCUUAGGGCCUGCUCUGAAGCCUUUGAUGUCCCCUGUGCACCUUUUCCCAGAAGCAGGCAGAGCCAUCUCUCUCUGCAUCGUGCCCUGAAUAUGCCUCCCUGGCCCAGUUCAGAGCAUACUGGCCUUAUGAUCUUAGGUCCCAAGGUCACAUCUGAGCUCCUCCAGGUCAGCAGAGAGCUACAGUGGACUAGUUGCUUAGAAUAUGCUUUUGUGGAUGCCUGAGGAUCACUGAAAAUGUAUGCAAGUCCUUGCUCAGAGAAAAUGCUCCAUCAAUGGCAACUAAUAACAUUGACAUUAUUUGUUAUGUUUCUGCUUCAGGACAGGAUUUAUGUUGCAACCUUUAUUUUAUUUAAUUUUCAUCCUCAUGAGAUUGCUGUUGAAACCCCAUUUUACCAAUGAAAAAAACUGAGGCUAAAUGAUGCCCAAUAAUUUAUCCAUGACUAUAGAGCCAAUUAGUGGCAGAGCCAGAGCAAAAACCCAGUUCUGUCUGCCUUUGAGCUGCAUCCUUUCUGCACGCCGCAUCACAUGGAUCUUAUUGGGAGCGCCUUGUGCUCGCUGCCUGUCAAGCAGAGCUGCUCUAUUGAUUAACAUGCAAAUGAUUUUUUGAGAGAGGGCUUAAGUGUAGUUCUGUCUCAGCCAGCUAAAACGGAGAUUUGCAACUCAAACCCUGGUCCUCACCCACUGCUGGGCUAUCGGGUUUUCAUCUCUAGAGUGAUUGACGGAUAUUUUUUUUCUCUCUUUGACCCAGAACGCCAGGCCUCCAGUACUACUGAAAUGUUUGCACAAUCUUGAAGCAUUUAUUUAAAAGUUGCUUUUCCCCAAAGGGCCUGGCCUCAGCCAGAUCCUGAGCCAGAUCCAAAAAAACAAACAAAUCCUGUCUUUACAAGUUCUUCAGCUGGGCUGCAUGGGGCAGGUGGGGGCGGGGGUCCCCUGGGCCCUACCUUUGCCCUGGCUGGCUGACAGGCCCGCCCGGAGGCGAGGAGCCUGCCUGCCUGUUUACAGCCCUUUCCAAUUCACAGGCCAAACAGGAAAAAGGGUAGGGGGUUGGGGAGGAGGUGAAUGUCAGAAAUCACAAAUAACACAGUUGCGUCUCAAAGCAAUAGGCAGUAGAGAUAUGACGCAGAUAUGGCUGGGUUGUGUUUCUUGAAUGUUCUUUGGAAACCGAGUAGAGUCAGACCCUUGACACCAACUACCCAGAUCCCCACAACUCUCACAGCAUUAUGAUCAGGGCAGAGCUCCUUAGACGGGUCCUGUGAGCUGUGCCCGGCUGAGCUUUGUGAUCUUGGCCCCAACCAUCAUGGUACCAUGAGCGAACUAAUCUCUAGCCCUGGCAGCAUCUGCUCUGAACCGUGGCUAUCUGGGGCUGUUCUCCUGGACAAAGCAAGAUGGAGAGGAGGAAGCCCCAUUUAUGGAGGGCAGUUCUUGCACAGGAUUUGGUGCUCAUGGAGGUCAUCUGAUUUACUGAGCACAGAAGAUGCUACUCCCUGCCAUCCCUCUCUGCAGGAAAGGUCUGACCUCAACACCCCCUAUCUGUUGUCUCCCCUUCCCUGCAGCAAAUCACUGGAUUAGAUUGAGGUCUAACGUUCAGAAUAUGACGUGGCCUGCCUGACAUAGCCAGUGAUUAGACGUCAGUGAGAGAAGUGCACUGUAGAAGGGGAGACUGAGGCCCAGAAAGAGGCCCUCUCUUCACUGACAGUCAUGAAGGGGCUGCCUGCUCACAAAUGGGCUAAUCGAGGCCUGCAGCUGGGAAAGCUCAAGCCAGUCCCCUGAGGUGCUUUCUGAGAAGUAGAGGUCAAAUGUUCUGAUUGCUUUUCCAGAAGCCACAAAUGUAAAGACCUGUAGCAAUGUUCUCAAUAGGCACUACCUGCGCCUGUCAUGAAUCUGUUCCUCCUAGAAGACGCCCAAUUCUUUGAUGACCUUCACGCCUAUCUCCAUGUCCUAGUCAGCCCCAGGUCACAUAAGGUAUAUGUCAGGCCUUAUACUGAUCAUGCAAUGCCACCUCUGUCUUCACCUUCUGGGAUGCUUCCUGGAACACCUGCCUUCUUGGCCAUUUCUUGAGUCAUCUUGGACAAGUGACUUAGCUUUUCUUUAAGUUUUGUUUUUAUUAGUACAUGUUUGCGGUAUACAGUAAUUUCAUCCACUGUGGGGAGCUGGUACCUGUUUGUAACAGAUACUGAGUUUCACUGGACAGACUUCUCUUCCUCCUGCCUUCAGGACCCUCUGGGAGCAGUUCAUACUGUGCCUGGGUUGGGAGGAUGCUCUCCGACACUAUGGGCUGGUUGCUAUCAGAAAAGGCAAAACAAUACUUCACUCUUUUCCCUCCUAAUCCCCUAAACCCUUGCACAUAUACAAUGAGGGCCAGCCUGGGAGUCCGCAGGGAGGAGGACACAUCCCACUUUCCUCCUGCAUCUUCAGAGAGUGGUACAGAACCAGAUACAGCCUGGCACUGGGCAGGUUCUUACUAAGUGUAUUUUGAUGAAUAAACCUAAUUCUGGGAAAAUCACCUCAAUUCGCUAAGCCUGGCACUGGGCAGGUUCUUAUUAAGUGUAUUUUGAUGAAUAAACCUAAUUCUGGGAAAAUCACCUCAAUUCGCUAAGCCCAAGCUUUCUCAUCUAUAAAAUGAGGCUAAUGUUACUACUCAGCUCAUGCUCAUUACAGAAUUACAAAUAGUGGUCCAUACAAAGUAAAUACAUAGUGCCUACGUGUAAUGAUAAUGCUUUCAUGUGCUUAGGAAAACAAAGAUUCAGGAGAAGGUAACCGCCUUGUUCAACAUCUCACAGCUAUAAAGUGGCAAAGCUAGGAAUGGCUUAAGCUUGUCUGACUCUAGGCUGUGAGACGUGGUCCUAGUGGAGACAUCCUGUUGAUUUACAGUGUCAUCUUUCUGCCUAUUCUGAGUUAUGAAAUCUCCCGUCUUCAGGUGAGCAUGUGCCUUUUGAAGGCUACAUUUUCCAUCCCCCUGUACCCCAGCAGCUAGCAGUGGCAUCUGUGUUCUGGCCACAGAGUGGAAGCUAUGUGUAAUUUCUAGGAAGUGUCCUGAUUUGUGUGUCCUGAUUUGCCGAUGGUCUGUCUUGUGACCUGGUAGCAGUGGUACCGGCCAGAAGACAGCUUGGGUCAGGCAGUGGAAGUUGGAAGGUGCCAUUGUGGCUUGACCGGGAGAAGGGAGCUAGUCCCUGAGGGUGGAGCCUUUGUCACAUCUUUUUCUUGAAGUCAAAGAGAAACUUUGACAGGUUUGAGCCACUAUUACUAUGGAUGAGGAUACACAUCCUGAUUUACAGUGCUUAGGGAAAGACUGCCAGUAACUAGGACUGUUGCAUUUAAAACAUUGUUACAAGAAACCCUAAUUUUCCUCUGCUGCAUCUCUGUUGACUAGUUCCAUGCCAGCCACAUAGCAAGUGAGUGGCAUUUGGGGGAGCCACUCAAACGAGCUGGAGCCCCAUCCCCGAAUUCCCAUCCCUGUGUGGUUCCAGCAAGGGCUGUGAGAGUGUUCAGCUUUUGACUGGACAGUGAGGCGAGGGGGCAGCUGGGAAGGAUGGUAUGUGUCAUGGUUUCUGCUGGACGGCACAGGACAGCAGGUCAGGGUCUGGGUCCCCAGCUCUUUUCUAUCUCAUGUAGAAUCCCAGGGUCCUAGGCCUAGGGUAUGUGCAGUUCCAUGAUAUGGGUUCCAGCCAUCUCAGGACAUCAGUCAAUAAUUAGAGACUUAAAGUGGUUCCCUUGCUUCUUCUGUUUUAUACCAUCCUCCCUUCCUGUGGGCCCCAUCCUGAAGCAUGCAGAAUAGCUGACCAGGUCCCAUAAUGUAGUGGUGUUACCUACCAUAGUAAGUUUCUUGUUCUAGGCGCCUUCUGGUUUCCUCUCUCCAGCUGAUACACAGAUAUUCGGUACAUCUUUACUAAAUGAACUGAAGAAUGAUUUAGACAUUUGGCCCUCUGGUAUAUGCUACCUACUAUUCUGCCUCUUGGAGGAGGACUUGGACUCAGACUCUGAGACCAUAUGUCUCUGGCCCUUAUGCACAGAAUGUUCAUCUGUGUCUAGGUAGGGCUAGAAGGGGCCAAGGGGCUAGUGGAUCUGAGAGAGGAUACAAGUUUGGGGUGGGUGGUAAAAUUUGGGGUUGUCUAGAAGUAAGGUUUAAUCCCUCUGAUAAUAUUAAUGUUGUCCCCAGAAUGAGACUUGAGUCUAGAACCAUCUACUUUUCUAAUCAGCCUUUGCAGAAUGGGCAGGGAGUUCCAAGGGUUAAUGCCUCUGGCUCUUGUGCUUACCUUCACUUAGAAGACUCAAGAUGAUGAUGAUUCCUUGUUAUACACAUAAGACCGUCCUCCAUACAGCACCCUCAGGAUCAAGGUCAAAUCUCUGCAAGCUGUACACAAGAUUCUCUGAGACCUUGUUUUUGUCUUUUUCUUUUUUAAUGGUACCGGGGAUUGAACUCAUGACCACACGCUUGCAAGGCAGGCGUUUAUGCCACUGAGCUAAAUCCCCAGCCCCGAGACCUUGUUUUUGGGUUCUGACCUGCAGAAUAGUGUUCCACAUCACUUGGACUUUGCCUCAGUGCACAAAUCAGAUGCACACGUCUCUGCACCUGGGAGUUGGUAUUGUCAGCUGUUUUCUGUCACUGAGAGCCUCAGAUUUUAAGACUGACUUUUCUCAAUUUCUAGGUCAGGAGACUUCUCAAAGAUGGAAGGGUCAAGUCCAAACAUAAGGCAGAGAAGCUGUCCACCCACCCAUCCACCCACUACCCAUCUGCCCACCAUCCAUCCAUCCACUUAUAUGCCUAAUACCCCACCCCUCCAUUCAACCCUUCACCACCCCCAUCUAUCCAGUAUUGUGAUUCUGAUCCAAGCUUUGUGCUGACAGCUGAAGACUGUACAGCACCCCAUAGUGGGAUAGAAAAAGAUGAUGCAAAUAGAAUAUAAAGAAUAAACAUGUAAAUGCCAUGUUGAGACAAGUAAGAUGCUGUGGACAAUAGAGGACAUCCUCAUUCAGUCAUGGGGUCAGAGGGGUUUCCUGGAGGAGGUGCUUUUGAAUUGAUCUUAAAGGACCACUAGAAGCAGAGAAAGCAUGAAAGUUAAGGACCAGAAUGUGCAAAGGCCCAGGGGGUAUCAAAUAGCAUAUCACUCUGUUUGGCAAACACUGUGCACUGGAGAAGGCAGAAGUGAUAGAGUUGGGUGCGAGGAAGGUCAAAGGUAGAAUCUGAUGCAGAUUUCUUGACUGACCUGUAGACCUGUUCCAGGCUCUUCUGGAAGUGGACAGGGAGGAAGCACAUGUGGAGGCCUCUCAGAGAUAGUGUGGGUUGUAAUAGGCAGCUGGUACCAGGUCUGAGUGAGUGAGUACUAAGGACAGGGGCUUUGGGGAACAAGCACAGAGAGGCUGGUUCAGGGCAUCUCAUUGACCUGGUGGGCAUUACAGGGUGAGGCCCAAGCUGGCAGAUGGGUCAUGUUUCUCAGCCGCAGUCUUCCAAGGCUCAGCUGAGGAGCUGUCGCUGGGCAGUUAAGGCUGCUGGGGCUCUUCCCCUUCCCCUUAUAGGGUGACUGCAAAUGGCUACUGUAGCUUCAGCCCAGGGGGUCUCCCUCACAGGACCUGAACCCAGUCACUUUCUCCAGUUGCGUCAGGGCAGGGCGAUUGUCUAAAACACAGUCUCGCAUCUACCGCUCACUGCUUGUGAGUCAAAGCAUACAGUUCUCAAUAAGGCAUUUAAAAACAUUCCACACUUUAUAAACACAGUCUCUGCCUCCCGCCCAUCUUUCCUGCCAUCCUUCCUUGCUUCCUCCCCUUGAUCCAGCCUCUCAGUCAUUCAAGGAACACCAACUUUUUAUCCCCCCCACCCUUUGUUUUUCCUGUUUGGUUCUCCACAUGCCUACCUUUUUGCCUUGUGUCUGAGGGGCAGGCUCUGCCUUUGUUCACUGAGGGGUGCGGGUGGUGGUGGUAAGGCUAUUGCUCCUCUCCUUUGCCUAUCACUCUUCCAGGACAAACAAAGGCCACUUCCUUUAUGAAGGCUCCUGCCUUAUCAACUAUCCUUCCUCUAGGCUUCCACACCGAGUAGCUUGCCUCUUUAUGGGGUAUAUAAUUCAUAGCAUUGUUUCUGUGCCUGUGUGUUGCACACUGUCCUACCCCUUCCACCAGGGUGGCUGCCUUGUUUAGGCUGUGCACUGCAUGAGAAUACCCUGCUGAAGGGUGUGUCCUGGUGGGAGACUACAUCUGCUCAAGAAGGAAGAAUGCUUUUUUCUAAAUUCUACAUAGGAAGCUGUUCUCCAAGUGAUGGGUUCAAUUGACUGAAUGUAUUUCAAGUGGGCACUUUUCCGGUUUCUCAAAAUAAGGUUCUUUGAGCUGGUAUGGCGGAUUGACUAAUGGUCAACUUGUAAUACUCAGCUGAACUGAGUUGGGAUGGUGCUGGGUAUGGAAGGCUGUGGCCAAUAGCAUGAAAGCAGACCUGGAGGGGAGGACGGUGUGCUGUUGAUUCUCUGGAGAAGCCUGUUACCUUGGCUCUCCUGAUAUGAACUCAGCUGUUCUCCUUGUCCGGAGCUUAGGUCCUCACUGUUGCUGAUGGCAGCUGCAGUUCCUUUUGAGGGAGCUCUGGAUCUUAGCCUGAGUGUCGCUUCCUGGUUCCAGCGCAGAUCCCUUAGCCUAUUGACACACAUCCUUUAUUCUGCUGGUGUGGACUUCCUGGUUUCCACCACUGACCUUUGGGCCUCCCCAGUGCAGAUGCUUGAUACAGACUUGCGUGAGACAUUGCUGUUGGUACUAGGCCUCCAGCUAGACUUGUGCAAGACAUUGCCAUGGGAUCCAGGCCCUAGGUUGGAUUCUUUGGGUCUCCUGUGUAUAGACCGAUCUUCUGUACUCUUCUACAUUUGGCUUUUUGGGUGAAUAAUACAAAAUAAUCCUAUAAGCUAUGUGUUCUGUAUUAAAUCUAUUCCCUUGCAAUUCCUGACUGCCUAGCACACCUGGUGAUAACCACACCCUAUUUUCUAAAUUCUUGAGGAACUUCUGAGUUCCUGAAGAUCAGGAUGACUUUGGCUCAACAACAGUGGCAGGCCCCAGAGGCCUUUGGGAAUUUUCUGAAAGCAGAAGAUUGAGCAGCGAGUCUUGGAGAUAUGCUACAAUGCAUGCCUGCCUUGUAGGGAGACCAGGCUCUGACAGUGUGGCUACAGAUUUGUUUGGAAAUUCCCCAGUAAGUGGUGUUUUUUGUCUCCCGGGGACCUUGAGAGCUCACUGGAGGACCCAAAGACUAGGUCUCCUCCAAAUAUUGUUUUAAACUGAUUGAUGCCAUGCCAGGCAGAGAAGGGCCAGGCAUUUUUCAUACAUGAAAGACAAUAUAUUCUGGGGCCAAAACAAAAUUAUUUCACAUUUGUAUGAUAACAGGCAGUGAGACAAAGAUGAUGUCUGAGGACAUUUAAACCUCAAAAUCAUUAGUCACUGUCCCAGCAGGCUACACAAAUAAAUGAUCAAUGCACAGAAAAACAAGGCCCUCUGAGGUGUUUGCCCAAGACCACUUAUGUGUCAAGCAGACUUAUUAGAUGUGAAGGGAAUGAUUAUUUGUACAAAGUGAAAUGAACAUGUGCAAUAAUAUUGUAAAAUGUUUAUUAGUCUAGAGUGUGCUGAAUGUUCCUAAAAUAUAUCAGGUUCUCAGCUUGCA